rnacentral:misc_RNA from 1 species
GCGCUCUCCAAGUAUUCACAUACUGGCCUUGUGCAGCUAGAGAUGUAGGCAAAAGAUUGACUAAGCGAACUAGUACUUUAUCCCCGGCAUCUCGGCACCGCUGCAACUGGGGCAUAGCAUAAUAGCAUCCUCCCCUCUUGCCUGCUAGACCCAAUGGAAUGGAAAGGAGUGAUUCAAGGCCUUUCCUUUCGCCAUGAGCUAUGUCCGCAUCUAAAGUAU